rnacentral:rRNA from 1 species
AUUGAACGCUGGCGGCAUGCCUUACACAUGCAAGUCGAACGGCAGCACGGGGGCAACCCUGGUGGCGAGUGGCGAACGGGUGAGUAACACAUCGGAACGUGUCCUGUUGUGGGGGAUAACCCACCGAAAGGUGAGCUAAUACCGCAUAACCUCGGAAGAGAAAAGCAGGGGACUCGAAAGGGCCUUGCGCGAUUGGAGCGGCCGAUGUCCGAUUGGCUAGUUGGUGGGGUAAAGGCCUACCAAGGCGACGAUCGGUAGCUGGUCUGAGAGGAUGAUCAGCCACACUGGGACUGAGACACGGCCCAGACUCCUACGGGAGGCAGCAGUGGGGAAUUUUGGACAAUGGGGGCAACCCUGAUCCAGCCAUGCCGCGUGAGUGAAGAAGGCCUUCGGGUUGUAAAGCUCUUUCGGUGGGAACGAAACGGUUACGGAUAAUACCCGUGACUACUGACGGUACUCACAGAAGAAGCACCGGCUAACUACGUGCCAGCCGCCGCCGUAACAC